GCAGGCUGUGUGUGCUUCUUUUUGUCCUUCAUUCCUUUGUCUGGGAGGGGAGGAAGGAGGAGGAUGGCUGCCCUUUGAGCAGAUGGCUGCUUGCCGCUCUUUGAUGAUUUUCUUUUUUUGUGGGGGGAACUCCAGACAUUCCUAGAAGGGCCUGUUAUGGAGAGGGGUAGAAUUGACAGUGUGUGUAUGUAUGUGCAUCAAUGGCUGUUCCUUCUCUUGUUCUUUUGUGUCAAUACUGGGCUCCUGGCUGAGAGAAGGAGGGCUGGCUUUUCUUUCUUACUUACUCUGCACAUGUUCAGUUUCUAAAUGAGCUGCACUGGGGAAUUGCAUAGACCAGGGGUAGGCAACCUAAGGCCCGUGGGCCCGAUGCGGCCCAAUCACCUUCUCAAUCCGGCCCACGGACGGUCUGGGAAUCAGUGUGUUUUUACGUGAGUAGAAUGUGUCAUUUCCAUCAACAUUUUUUUUAACGCUGAAUUCUAAUGCUUGAAUUUGUUUGCUGGUUUUUCUUGCACUCCAAUUUUUAUUGAAUUUUAAUGCUUUGCCAUUUUGGAAGCCGCCCAGAGGACACUGCCAUUGGGUGGCAUAGAGAUGCUAUUAAUCAAAAUCAAGAAAUUAAUAAUAAUAAUAAUAGUAAAUGCAUAGAGUUGCAUCUUUGGAUAUCUGCACACAACUGCGUUUUGUCUUUGAAAGCGAGAGAACUUGUGCUCAUGAAAUACAGCCCUGUUUUAAUUCCAACAUUACUGAGAACAGGCUACCCCACUGCAGCCCGGCUAUAUGACUGCAACUAGAGACCAAUUAUCCCUUCUCACCCAGGAAAGUCAAGAAGGCUUUGUUGUUGUUGUUGUUUGGUCACAAAGUGACUAAUCUACUCCUCCCUCUCUUUUUAAGUAUUCAGUUGCCUAUGCUAAGAGUUAGUAGGCCCUCCAAGAAUGCUUGAUUUCUGGGGCCAAGAAUGCGGCUAAUCUUCUGAUAGAUAAUAGGGUUCUUAGUAGGAGCAGAAAAUAGCUGCAGGCUAGGAAACUCAGCUUCCUUUGUCAGCAAGGCUGGGCACUUCAGUGUAUCUGAUACCACACACUCCCAGAGGGGUCACUGAAUUGGUCUAUUUUGCAGCAGAACUAGCAAGGUGGCACCUUAAAAGACCUAACGAAUUCAAUAUAGUGCAAGCUUUCAUGAACGAGAGACCAUGUCAUUCAACAUACCCUCUGACAUUUCUCCAAUGAAAAUAGGAACAUCCCGUUCCAUAAUGAUAAUUUUACUCUUUGUACCAAUUGACAAACUGGAACGUGUCCAGAGGAGGGCAACCAAAAUGGUCAAAGGCCUGGAAACGAUGCCUUAUGAGGAACGGCUAAGGGAGCUGGGCAUGUUUAGCCUGGAGAAGAGGAGGUUAAGGGGUGAUAUGAUAGCCAUGUUCAAAUAUAUAAAAGGAUGUCACAUAGAGGAGGGAGAAAGGCUGUUUUCUGCUGCUCCAGAGAAGCGGACACGGAGCAAUGGAUCCAAACUACAAGAAAGAAGAUUCCACCUAAACAUUAGGAAGAACUUCCUGACAGUAAGAGCUGUUCGACAGUGGAAUUUGCUGCCAAGGAGUGUGGUGGAGUCUCCUUCUUUGGAGGUCUUUAAGCAGAGGCUUGACAACCAUAUGACAGGAGUGCUCUGAUGGUGUUCCUGCUUGGCAGGGGGUUGGACUCGAUGGCCCUUGUGGUCUCUUCCAACUCUAUGAUUCUAUGAUUCUACCCCACACAUCUUAUUGGGUUGCCCCAGGACUCUGAGCAGCUUCCAUCAUAUGUAAAAACAUAAUAAAACAUUAAACAUUAAAAAAGCACACCUUCCCCAUAUGGAAUUGCCUUCAGAUGGCUCGGGGAUUGGAUCCAUAGCCUCCAACAUUUCUUCAGUGAAAAUAGGGACAUCCUAAGGAAAAAUGGAAGGACAGAUCCUGAAGCUGAGGCUCCAAUACUUUGGCCACCUCAUGAGAAGAGAAGACUCCCUGGAAAAGACCCUGAUGUUGGGAAAGAUUGAGGGCGCAAGGAGAAGGGGAUGACAGAGGAUGAGAUGGUUGGACAGUGUUCUUGAAGCUACCAGCAUGAGUUUGACCAAACUGUGGGAGGCAGUGGAAGACAGGAGUGCCUGGUGUGCUCUGGUCCAUGGGGUCACGAAGAGUCGGACACGACUAAACGACUAAACAACAACAACAAGGGAAAAUGGGACAUUCUGGGAUCAAAGCAGAAACCGGGACAGCUUCUCUAAAUUAGGGAUGUCUGUGGAAAACAGGGACAGUUGGAGGGUUUGCAUCAAGUGCUGCAAGACUCCUUGUAGAUUUUGGAACCAGGCCUUCUCCACUUCACACAAACCUCCCAGGUGCUUUUUAUAGGGAUCAUAGAAUUGUAGAGCUGGAACCUGCAAUCUCAGCUAAAGCAUCCAUGGCAGGUAGCCACCCAACCUCUGCUUAAAAACCUCCCAAGGAAUGUGGAAGUAUAAGCUAUAAAUGACACAAUCUGCAACACCUGCACUCCUCUGGUGAGGAAACUCCAAGGGAUAUUUUGGAUACCUCCCUUCAUGUUCAAAACAAAUAUUUGGGUAGGUGUUUUGCAUUGCCGUUGCAGCUCUGAUGGUUGUUAAUGGUUGAAGAAAAUAACAGGGAAAUAGUCCCCUGCACACACAUGGAUUAAGUAUAUUUUAGAUAGCCAGUGCUGGUCCUGAUGAGGAGGUUUUUUUCUACACACAUUUGUACGUUGUUGCCGUCCAUCAGUCUUAGGAGACAGUGGAGGAGUGUGCCUUUGGGGGUAAAGUCAAACCGUUGGAAGUUUACAGCGCUUGCUGUGGCUGUAGAGACUGAUACGAGAGAGACAUAUUUCGUCGCAGUCUGAAUGAUAUCUCUCUGAUUGCAGGCACCAAUUUUGGGUGAGAUCUCACUGAUUUGGGGUGCGAUCUCAUGUGCUCAGCAAGAUCUCACCUUGUUUUGGUGAAAUCUUGCCGGAAAUCUCCUCCACUGGCAGUGGAGAUGACCGGGCAAGAGGAACACCUAAUGAUUGGGCUGGCCCUGUUCCUCUGUGAAGUACAGUAUUUUUUGCUCUAUAAGACCCACUUUUUCCCUCCUAAAAAGUAAGGGGAAAUGUAUGUGCGUCUUAUGGCGCGAAUGCAGGCUGAGCAGCUAUCCCAGAAGCCAGAACAGCAAGAGGGAUUGUUGCUUUCACUGAGCAGCGAUCCCUCUUGCUGUUCUGGCUUCUGAGAUUCAGAAUAUUUUUUUCCUUGUUUUCCUCCUCCAAAAACUAGGUGCGUCUUGUGGUCUGGUGCGUCUUAUAGAGCGAAAAAUACGGUAUGUUACAUGCCCAUCUGAUCCACUUAUCUUAGCGGUGUUUUAACAAUCAAUCCUUCUUCACAGGGGAUUCUGGCAAUGGUAGCUCUAUGAGGGGAAUAGGGGUUGCCUAACAACUCCCAGCCCCCUUAACAAACAACAGCUUCCAGAAUACUUUGGGGGCUUCUGAAUUCAGGACUGUUUGAAGUGGAUGGUGCAAAUGUGGUCCAUCUAGCUCAGUAUUUUGACAGUGGCUCUCGAAGAUUUCAGAGAGCAGCCUUUCACAGGCCCACCUCAAGAUGCUGCGGAUUUCACCUGGGACCUUAUGCAUGUAAAACUAGGGUUGCCAUAUUUCAAAAAACAAAAACCCAGACACCCUGAAACUCCAAAAAUCCCCACAAUUUUCCAAUUGACUUGCCUAAGAUCCAGGACAAAGCGUCACCUUUUGGAAAUUUCCCCUGGACAUCAAUUCUGCCUUUGAAAUCCCAGCAAUAACUGGGGAAGUCCGGGCAUAUGGUGGCUGUAUGUAAAACUGCUCCUCUGCCACUGAGCUCCACUGUUUCAUGUGCCUUCCAGCUACAUCCCAGGUCAAGUUUAGCUGCAGGAGUCGAUUUGCAGGCCUGGCGGGGCCUUGAUCUUUGAGGUUGUUUGUGUCAAUGAUGUUGAUAAGACUGCUAUUGGCUUCUUGUUUCAUGGGGCAAAAUUUCCAGGAAACCGGUAUCUGGGUUUCUGAUGGACUAUAUCUCACCAGGGGAGAUAUAAAUAGCUCUCUUCCUGGUUUGAGUUUUGUUUUGCAGUUUAAGAUGUACCAGAAAAAGAGAGAGAGACACAAAUUGACUCACACAGCUGGGAUUUUCACAGAAACAUUUCUAGGUAGUGCAAAGGAACUUAAGACUGUACUGGCAUGCACUCAAAACAGAUCUACGAACAGAAAAACAUAACAGAAACCUUGUGACCCAGGAGCCAUCUGUCUCAGCAUGACAAGGUGUCCUGUUUUGCAGGGGACACUUCUCUGUUUGAGUGGCCGCCUGGUCCUAUUCCAGCCUAGAUAUAACAAAGCAUAAGCGAAGUCAGAUCAAGAUUGUUAAGGACUCCAGUGCAGUUCUUAGAAUUGCUCCCCUUCUUCUCCAGAAAGGACCAGAAAAUAAAUAUUUUGGUAUAUUAAAGACUGAUAUAUUUACAGUAUUAUGGUGUAAGUUCUCUUGGUCUACAAAAAUACUGUGGAGACUGUGGGGUUUCAUAACUCUCAGCAAAGCACACACUCCCGCCCCCAACCUUGAUAAACAAAAAGAAACUACUCUGAUAGCUAACAUGAUUUUUACAUGUUUAUAGAAAUUUAUAGAAUAAUUUUUGUUUUAUUAAGAAUAAUUUAAUUGUGUUAAAUUUAUUAUUUGACUUUGCAUUCCUGUACCCACUUACCUGGGAGCAAGCCCCCUUCAUUGCAGACCCUUAUGUCUGAGUAGACAUGUAUACUUAUGUACUGUCAGUUAUACAGUGAAAUCUUAAUGACUGCCUGAACUUCAGCUCCUGCAACAAGGGAGACAUGCCUAAGCUGCCUCUACAAAUUUUCAGAUUUUUCACUUGCCAUUUUGGGCGGAGUGGGUGGAAUCUCUAACAUCUAUUUGUCCUUGUUGUGUAGUGGCAGAAAAUAGCUUGUAGGGAGUACCCGAUCUCUGAUAAGCCCACUACAGGAAAGAUGCUAGAAAGAUAGGAAGAGGAAAGUAUAGACAUUCCAAGGGCUAGAAAAUCAGUGAGAAGCAAGAAGGCAUUCAAAGGGAAGGAGAAAACAGAAGCUGUUUAUGAUCCCAGGGAUUCCUAAUGUCUGGUGCCCAAGCACCUUACUCAUCAAUCACAGCUCUGACUUCACUCAUUAGCUAAAACCACUGAAAGACAUGAGCAGCAAGGAUGUCCUGUGUCACACUUAGAAGGUUGCCUGCACAUUUUGCUUCAUAAUUUUCUGCACAGGAUGGCUAGAGACCCCUCUCUCCUUCCUCCACUCUCCUUUUAAAGUUAAAACUCACUAGUCUAGGCCCCUGCUAGUAGGGUUCCUAGUGCAGUUGCUCCAGUUGCACCAUUAUAAUCUAGCUAUGACCCUAAGAAGGAAGGACAGGGACCCUGAAGUUGCCACCAGUACUUUGUACCUGGUAGGAAGAAAGACUAAUUUGGGACUUUCCCUAAUACUAGGCAGUUGUAUCAGUCUGCCUACCUCGAUUUGUCAUUAGAACCUAACCAACAAGUUCCACGUGCAGCAGAUAUUUUUCUGAAAGCAAGGGAGGGUUGUAUCCAUUGCAUAAUACACCGUGCUCCACAACAGUCACAUUUCUUCUUUUCUCAACCAGGAUUACGUAAGCAUGGCAAGGGAUUUGGUGGCUGCUGUCGAAAGAAAUCUUUUAAAAGAUGCUUCCAGGUGUUGGCUUUCUCCGGCGACUGGAAUGUUUGUGUGACUAACCAGCAAUGCUCGUAUGUCAACGUGCUGGACACCCACAAGGAAGAUGCCAUUGGUGCCAUUUCCGGUGGUGACAGCUAUCUGCAAGCACAUCACCAGAGGAGUGGCAAACCAGCUAUGGUACCUUCCUCCCUCUCAACCCUCUUCAAUGGGGUACUUGCUGGGUUUGUUGACAAGCGCAAAUAUUUUAAAUAAACAAAUAAAACAA